AUUGAACGCUGGCGGCAGGCCUAACACAUGCAAGUCGAACGGUAGAGAGGUGCUUGCACCUCUUGAGAGCGGCGGACGGGUGAGUAAUGCCUAGGAAUCUGCCUAGUGGUGGGGGAUAACGUUCGGAAACGGACGCUAAUACCGCAUACGUCCUACGGGAGAAAGCGGGGGACCUUCGGGCCUCGCGCCAUUAGAUGAGCCUAGGUCGGAUUAGCUAGUUGGUGAGGUAAUGGCUCACCAAGGCGACGAUCCGUAACUGGUCUGAGAGGAUGAUCAGUCACACUGGAACUGAGACACGGUCCAGACUCCUACGGGAGGCAGCAGUGGGGGAUAGUUGGACAAGUGGGACGAAAGCCUAGAUCCAGCAAUGCCGCGUGAGUGAUGAAGGUCCGUUAAGGGUUGUAAAACGU
rnacentral:rRNA from 1 species